rnacentral:lncRNA from 1 species
UAUGUGGUUAACAGAGCUUUGCUUCAGUACGAACCCUCAUCUUUUCAGGUGCAACUGUUCUAAGUCUUGUCUUAUUCACUUCGCAAUGGAUUUCUGUUUCUUAAUGUGCGUGGAAGAGAAAAAUGUGUGUUCUUCAUAGACUACAAUCGGAGAUCGGGUAGUCCUGCUGAUUAUAAAAGUUAGAUUAAGUAUUAGGCUCAAUAGAAAGAUCACCUGUGUGUGUUGGAAUCUGGGACGUGAUCAUGAAACAAUGCUAGUGCAAUAAGCUAUUUCUAGCACUUUUUGAAGGUUGACUGAUCCUAUAACAACUGGAUUAGAUGUAUUUGUUACCUGAAACCCUUCGGACAAUUAACCGAUCCCCCUUAAGAACAAAAAAAUGCCGAGGAAACGGUUUCUAAUCAGACCACAUCUUUACCACCUCUUUUGGUCAUGGAAUAGAUGAAAUAAUUAAGAAAUGGAUGUUGCUUUAAUGAAUGUGGUUUAUAAGCACUUGGCAGUUGAUCCCUUAGGUUUGAUAAGCGGCUGUUGAGUGAGUGGUUAGUAAGGGUAGAAUUGAUUUGGAGAGAAUGGUGAAUGAUUACCGUUACUUGGAUUAAAUAGAUGUCAAUUUAACUUUCAUAUGGACUGUUUUUAAAAUUCAUAAACAAAAGUCUAAAUUUGGGAUGAGGUGUGCCUCAAAUUUACAGCUUAAUGUUUACUUGGUUUAUUUUUCCUUAAUGGCUUGUAAGCUAAAGCAAACUGUAAAAGAGGGAGUGAAAUUAAGUUCGAUAAACGUGUGAAGACUGAAAUUUAUUUGGAGGUCCCUGCAUCAAAUCUUGUUUUGUAUUGUUUCUAAGUUUUAAUUUACUUCCUAUGUUGAAGAUUAUAUUUUAUGUAUGUACUUGAUAAAUUUAGAAGUUAAAAUUAUAGCUUUAGUGAAAGCAACAUUGUAAUAAAAUAAUCCCUAAUUCUUACAUGAUGCAACCUUGUUCUCAUAAGUUAUCAGUUUUAUUGUUGUCCUUGUACUAAUAUCUAUUUUGUGAUUGCCUUUUCUCUAAAAGUUUAGUGUUGGAAGCUGAUGACUUCUUUUGUCAUAUAUACAGAUGAGCAGUGAUGCCGGAGUAUCUGCCUUCCCUGAAGGGGAGAGCAUCUUUACUUGGAUCGGUACCAUUGAAGGUGGUAGAGGAACUAUGUAUGAGGGUUUAUCUUACAAGCUUUCUUUGCGAUUUCCCCUUGAUUAUCCUUUCAAGCCUCCCCAAGUGAAGUUUGAGACAAUGUGCUUCCAUCCAAAUGUUGACCAGUAUGGGAAUAUUUGCCUUGACAUUCUUCAGGUAUUAAUGAUCUUGGUUGUCAGUUGUCUAGUAGUGCAAGUGUGUACUUGAGAAGUCUUAGAAUUGUUUUUCUUUAGAAUACAAAUUUGGUGACCAUAUUUUCAGUUUGCAUUAAUUUUAUCAUACUUUACCCUCUAUAAUACUUAGCGUCCCCCUGGGUAUUAUAUUUCCAAUAGAGAUGAAGUAAAAAGUGACUGAAAUUUAGUCUAUGGCAUACUCGAGCAGAUAUAAACUAAAAAUAAAGCACAUAGGCCAUAUCCUGGUGAUAGCUAAUUUUAUGAAACAAACAUAACCUUAGGCUAUAUUUGUUUCAAGGACUCAUAACCCUAGAAAAUUAAUUUAUUCUGUAUUUCUAUUGUGGUUCAUCCUUGCGUUAUCCCAUGCACAAAACUUUAGUUAAUAUUGUGGUUUGUUUUAUGGGAUUAUAAUACCUAUUCAGAUGGCGAGAUUUAACAAUCCUCAAAAUGAAGGAGAUCAUCAAAACUUGCUCAUAAGAUUAUUUAAAGGAUUUUACUCAAAAAAAAGAUUAUUUAAAGGAAUUAAGUUUUAACAAAUCAAGUACAAAUAAUGUAUAGUGAAGGGAAUAUAGUUGUUGUAAACAAAUAUGGCUUUGGGAGGUGGGGUGGGGUGGGGUGGGGGGGAUGAUGUCUUCAGGUUGUAAAUAACUUUCUCGAACUAAUUUUUUGAGAGGGGCGAGCCUUUAGUUCUUGUACUAACAAAAAGGAUAGAAGUAAGCGGCAAGUUUCCCUUUGUGAGGAAACCAUAAUAGAUAAAACAGCUAUGUUAUAUAAGCUUUUCAAAAGAUUUACUUUUAGUAUAUAUCUUGGCAACAUGGGGAACUGCAAAAUCAAUGGUAGUCAGUGAUAACUUGUCACUAAAUCCAUAACUGUCUCAUUCAAGUUCUAAUAGGUAAAUAUAGAUCAUAUUACAAAUAAAUAAAGAGUAAAAGACAAAAUGGUGGUUGUAAUUUUCCAAAUUUUACAAAAUAUUGGCUGGACUUUAAAAAUUACAGAAUGGUGGCUGGAAUUUACUUCCGUCUUUUAAUAAGGUGGCGGCCAUUAAAUAAUCGUUAACGCACCUAACGGAACCAGAAAUAAAAGGAAUUUUAAAUAAAAAUUUACUAUCAUGAGCCGUGAAAUUACCGUAGUACCCCUUGACAUUCUCCUUUCUCCUUCCCCUUUCCUCUUUCCGUCGGCUAGACGGUCAAGCGGCGGCGGCACCGUCCCUGCCCCUCUUCUCCCUCCGACCUCUGUCCAGCUCUCUCUCUCUCUACCUCCUGCUUCCCCCUCCCUCAUCUGAAGCAUAAUGGUGCAACAAAGAGAUGAGUUGUUUGAGUCUGAGCUUGAGCUUUCCUCUUUCGAUCGUGACCACAAACUUACAUAUAACAAUUAUCAGACGACUCAUGUUUCAUUACCAGUGGAGCUCAAUCUCGUGCCUUCUGUAGCCUCUAAUCUUCUCUCCGAAAACAAAACUCAAAAAUCUCACUCAUCAGACGCUUUCACAUGUUUUCCCCUCUUCUGCACAUACAAACUCAAAUCCAAACCUUUGUGUUCAUCUUCCUCUCCUCUCCAGAUUCUCCCCUCUGUCUCUCCCCCGCUUCUCCCCCGUCCUCAGCCGUCACCGACGGUUAUGCCGCGGCGGCUCCCAGCCUCCGUUGCCAACAAUCAAGCGCCUGAAUACUCCCCUCCAUACUCUAACUCAAACCUCAAAUCAAUUUCACGACCAAUCAAACAGACAUUAAAACCCCCAAUCUGUAGUUUUUGGAGGUGGUGUGAAAUUUGAGUAAAAACCCGUUUUUACCCUUCUAUUUUUUAUUUUUUCUUGGACUUAACGGUCUAAAUUAACGGACCUUGACGGCAGCCACCUUAUUAAAAGACGGAUGUAAAGUCCAGCAACCAAUCUGUAGUUUUUGAACUCCAGCCAACAUUUUGAAAAACUACGGCCACUAUUUUGUCGUUUACUCAUAAAUAAAUCAAGCAAAAAAGCAAACAUACUUUCAUAUAAUAAAUACAAUGAAAUUUAAUUUAAUUACAUACAAAAUCAACAAGAGGUGAUUAUACUACGUUUUGUACCACAUCAUUGUUAGACUUGGGAACAAGAUUACUUUUGUUGGAUAUAAUUGCAAUACAACUUAUAAUGGAUGAUUGAUGAGGAGUUAAGGUACCAAUCAAGUAAUAUAUCAUCCUUGUAUUAUAUCUUAUCUUGUCAGCUCAAAGACUGCAUAAAAACAAUAAUCAACCAUCGAGUGUGGAACACACACUCCCUUUAAGAGGAUGCUAACAUUUUUAUAUUUUUGUUUGCAGGACAAGUGGUCGUCAGCUUAUGAUUGCCGGACCAUUCUUUUGUCCAUUCAAAGUCUAUUAGGAGGUUUGUGAGAUGAAUACAAGAAUUUACGAAACCUUUUGAGCGAGCUCUCCUAAAAUUUUGUUAUUAUAUCUUGCAGAGCCCAAUAUUGAUAGCCCUCUCAACAGCUCUGCUGCCGCACUUUGGAACAAUCAAGAAGGUAUGCCAAUUUGUAUUAUAGCUGUGACAAAAGCACAUUGACUUAAGAAUCUAGAUUGACCUUAUAAGUAAAUGACAUUUUGGUUUUCACGUGUACUUUUAUGUUACAUAUAUUCAUUAUAUACAUUUUAAAAUUUCACAAUCCUCGUUGCCAUCUUUAAAUAAAAUGCAUAUUUUGAAAUCUUUGAUGUAAUGAGUAUAGUCCUGCUAACUUAGUUUGUAGUCGCUGCUAGCAUUUGUAGCAUGUUCAUUGGGAUAGACCAGUCUUAUUUAUAUUGUCGGUUCUGGAGAAACAUCUCUUCUCCUUGAAGGGCUCUAUAAUUAUAUUAGAAGUGUUUGAGCAUAGUUAAGCGAGCCAGAACUGAAUAUAUGUAGUUGUUGAUUUUGUACUAGAACUGAAUAUAUGUAGUUGUUGAUUUUUUUGUAUUCACUCACAUAUGUACCUUUCAUUGAGCUGCAUAAAUAACAAUAGUAUGCCAUUUUGGCUAGCCAGAUAAUAUGUCUACUUCAGUCUAGGACCUAGAAAUCAGGGAUUCUUCACUCACCCGCCGCACCGCAGCGCACUAGAUUCUCGGGAAUUCUUGUUAAAUAAUAAUUAUGUAAUCAGUUGAUUACUUAAUCACUUAACUACUUUAUAAUGCAACGAUUGUGUUAUCAAAUAGUUUUUAUGUAAAUCAUUAGGGAUAAGGAACUUAUUUACUUGAUUGUUUGGUUUAAUUAUAAAAGUGACUCCUGAAAUACAUGCAUCUUAUAUACUUUUAAUAUAUAAAUAUAUGCCGAAUCCCCAUAUUUCUAAAUUUCCGGACUUCCCGUAUCCCCGUACCGCACAAUCCUGCACUCGCACGCGCACUCAUGCUUCCUAGACUUAGUCCACUGAGCUAUUUGUAGCGUAUUCACCCCUCCCCCCACAUACAUAAUUUGUUAUGCUACAAAUAGCUCUGAAUAUAAAUAAUAAUAAAAAAAACAAAACCGUUCUGGAAAUAGCAUUUUCCUACUUCUGGAAGUUGCACUAUUCCAAAAUGCUAAAGUUUUUCUUCAAAUUCACUAGACACAGACUGUGCAUGCAGCUGUAUAUGAUAACAUGGCUCAGUCUUAUAUUGUAAUUGUCCAAGUAAUGUUCGUUUGGAUGAAUGCUGGCAGGGGUGUGCACGAGUCGGUUCGGCUCGGUUUCUACCUAAAACCGUUACCGAACCGUGGAUUUCGGUUCGGUUCGGGUUUUGGGUAGAAACCGUAACCGAACCGUUUCAAACGGUUUUUUUCGAUUCGGUUAACCGUGGGUCGAUUUCGGUUUUUUUCCGGUUUUUAUAUGAUUAGAAACUACUAUGCAAAUUUAAUAUUUUUAUUAAUUUUAGAAAAAUAUUUAUAUACUUAUUAUAUCAAUUUCUCUUACUAAAAUAUAUAAUUAAUAUAUUGUAGCACACAUAUAUAUAUAAUACGUUAUAUAUAAUAAUAUAUAAUAAAUGUUACUCCCUCUGUCCCUCUCAUUUCUUUACGGUUACUAUUUUAGGAUGUCCCUCUCAUUUCUUUACGUUACUAUAAAUAGUAAGUUUUUCUCAUCAUUACACCCACUAUCUUCCCCUACUAUGUCAUAUUUAACAAUAAAAACUACUAUUACACCCACUACUUUCCUCCACUAUCUCAAAUUUAUUAUUAAAUAUUGGUAGGUAUCACCACUUUACCCACUUUUCAUCUAACUUUACUCAUUUUUCAUACAUUGUCUUGGUCUCCGUGUCCCCCUCCAAUGUAAACAAUUGAGGGGGACGGAGGGAGUAUAUUCUUAUUAUAUACUCCCUCCGUCUCAAUUUAUAGGUCCAUUUUGGAAUAAACACACAUAUUAAGAAAAAAGUUGGUUAGAUGGAAUCUUAUCUCAUGUAUCAUUAAUUAGUGCAUUGAUAAGUGAGAAUAUUGUUGAGUUUCAAAAAAAUCACAAUAAAUAUAGGGAUUUAGUGCAUUGAGAAAUGAGAAUAAUGUUGAGUUUCAAAAAAAUCACAAUUAAUAUGUAGAUAAAUUUGUAUUGAGAGAAGAGAGGGACAAGUAUUUUGGGACAAUUUUUUUUUCCAAAAUGGACAUAUAAAUUGAGACGGAGGGAGUAUUAUAUAAACGGUUCGGUUUCGGUUCGGUUUUAGGGAUAAAACCGUAACCGUUACCAAACCGUUAUUUCGGUUCGGUUCGGUUACGGUUUUUUCCGGUUUUUGUCGGUUACGGUUUUUUUCGGUUUGGUUUUUCGGUUUUUCGGCUCGGUUUCGGUUUUCCGGUUUUUGUUUGCUCACCCCUUGCUGGCAGCCUAUAUAUUACUAAUCUAAAUGAAGUGAUGUAAACUUCUGUUGCAGAUUACAGACGGAUGGUGCACAAAAACUACAUGGCUGGAGAAACAUUCGAAACUUAAUAUGAAAAUCAUUGUAGUAAAAGCCUCUUUGGCACUCUUUCCUUUAAGAAAGGAAAUGAGGGGGGAACUGUGGCAUGCUUUCUCUCACAGCAUCGAUUAGAACCUCUCUAUCAUUUUAUCAUAAGUCGUCCCUGUAUACAAAUUGUUUUCAGUGGAAUAUUGUCAAUAUCAUGCUGUAUAGUUUGCCCAAUGAAAUUUAAUAUUUGUUGCAGUGAAUUGGAAAUUUAGUCCCUUCUUUAUUUCUCAUUCACAUUCUUAUAGGCCCUAUAGCAUUGGCACAAGUAAAGCCUAAAAAGAGAAUAUAUUUUUGGUUUUUACCUAGAACCAUUAGUUUAAAUCUGUAUUAGAAGCAUUUUGUAAUUUUGUCAAAACUUACUUUAACAACAACUACAUCCUCAGAAAAGAGAGUUUAGCAUUAGAUCUGCCACAUGUAUUAGCUUUCGUUGACAAGACUUCCUAGAUACUCCCUCCGUCUCAAUUUAUAGGUCCAUUUUGGAAUAAACACACAUAUUAAGAAAAAAGUUGGUUAGAUGGAAUCUUAUCUCAUGUAUCAUUAAUUAGUGCAUUGAUAAGUGAGAAUAUUGUUGAGUUUCAAAAAAAUCACAAUAAAUAUAGGGAUUUAGUGCAUUGAGAAAUGAGAAUAAUGUUGAGUUUCAAAAAAAUCACAAUUAAUAUGUAGAUAAAUUUGUAUUGAGAGAAGAGAGGGACAAGUAUUUUGGGACAAUUUUUUUUUCCAAAAUGGACAUAUAAAUUGAGACGGAGGGAGUAUUAUAUAAACGGUUCGGUUUCGGUUCGGUUUUAGGGAUAAAACCGUAACCGUUACCAAACCGUUAUUUCGGUUCGGUUCGGUUACGGUUUUUUCCGGUUUUUGUCGGUUACGGUUUUUUUCGGUUUGGUUUUUCGGUUUUUCGGCUCGGUUUCGGUUUUCCGGUUUUUGUUUGCUCACCCCUUGCUGGCAGCCUAUAUAUUACUAAUCUAAAUGAAGUGAUGUAAACUUCUGUUGCAGAUUACAGACGGAUGGUGCACAAAAACUACAUGGCUGGAGAAACAUUCGAAACUUAAUAUGAAAAUCAUUGUAGUAAAAGCCUCUUUGGCCCUCUUUCCUUUAAGAAAGGAAAUGAGGGGGGAACUGUGGCAUGCUUUCUCUCACAGCAUCGAUUAGAACCUCUCUAUCAUUUUAUCAUAAGUCGUCCCUGUAUACAAAUUGUUUUCAGUGGAAUAUUGUCAAUAUCAUGCUGUAUAGUUUGCCCAAUGAAAUUUAAUAUUUGUUGCAGUGAAUUGGAAAUUUAGUCCCUUCUUUAUUUCUCAUUCACAUUCUUAUAGGCCCUAUAGCAUUGGCACAAGUAAAGCCUAAAAAGAGAAUAUAUUUUUGGUUUUUACCUAGAACCAUUAGUUUAAAUCUGUAUUAGAAGCAUUUUGUAAUUUUGUCAAAACUUACUUUAACAACAACUACAUCCUCAGAAAAGAGAGUUUAGCAUUAGAUCUGCCACAUGUAUUAGCUUUCGUUGACAAGACUUCCUAGGGCAACUCCAACCUAACACCAAAACACCAUUUUGGUGUCAAAUUUGGUGUCAAAUUCAUUCAUAUUGGCCCCCAUAUUUUCAAUUUGUAUUCUAUAAAUAAUUACAAAUUUCUCUUUUUUUUCUUUAAACUAAACUUUUGUUUGCUGGUCAUUUAUAUAACAUGGUACCAAACCGACAACUACAUUGUUUAUUAUAGUUUUUAUAGACAAAGAUUGGACCUUUUUUUUAUAAUAAAAAAAAGUAUUUAAUAGAUGUUUAGCAUUUUAAUUUGUAAAAAUAAGACACUUAUUUUUUAUUUUUUUCUAAAAUAAGGAAAUCUAAAUGUGAUCUAAAUUUAUACUCUCUUCGUCUCUCUCAAUUGUUUAUAUUUGGGGACGGAGAUUUGAUACGCAUUCUAAUAUUCUCAUAAAAUAUAGUUUGACAGAUUAUUUUGAAUUUUUUUUUCUUUAAAUAAAUAUUUACUAUCUAAAAUUUUAUAUAAAAAAAAUUUCAAAAAAAAAAUUAUGAUUUUAUAUGCACUUUAAGAUGCGUGUCAAGUAAUACAAAAAAGUAUAGAGAAAUGAUAAGAGGUAACGAGCAUAAAAUUUAUUUACUAGUGUUGUGCUAUUACCUGUGUGUUUAUUCAAUAAAUUUUAUAAUGUCGUGGGAAUGCAGAUAUUGUGAAAAAUAAUAGAGAUCAAAUGUUAUCCGCAUGAGCGAGGGAACUGAGGGUUUAAUUCGGUGAAAUAUCUUUUCGAAGCAAUUUAAAAACUGACUUACGACUUAUAAUUUCUAAUUUAUGAUGAUUUAUCGUGAUAAGUAUCUAGUUUAAAUUAUUUAUUUACUAAUUUUCUAUUGUAGAUUACCUAUGAAAUUUAAAAUAUAUAAAAAAAUUAAUAAAAAAAAUUAUGUCCAACUAAUAUCUGAUUUUAAAUAAUUUUUGAUUUAUAAAUAAUUUUAACCCAACUUCAUUUAAUAUAUUUUUUUGACUUCAAAACAAAAAUACUUCAAUCCAGACAUUAAAACGACAAACAUGCCCUGUCUCAGAGUGCCAAUGUCGCGCAAAUAUGUUGCGGAAGAUAUAUUAUAUAUUCUAAUUAAUUAUUGACUUAAGAAUAAUAUGUUGAAUUUGUGUAGCAAAGCAAAUGUUGAAAUGAAAGGUGGUGGUACAUGGACAGGUAUUGUUGCCUAAACCAUUUCAAUCAUGGACCAUCAUUCAACCUGUCUUUUCAUGUGGCCCAAACUUGCUCCAUUACUCCUGUACAAUCUUCAUUUUUGACUCAUGAAACUGGGCAAUUUUUUACUUUUAUUAAAGUUGCUAUCGAAGAAAAUACACAAACGUGGUCACUGGGACCAUGGAGAUACAUCAGUAACAAUACGACUGUCAAAAUUGAGAAUGUCAAAAUUGAGAAUGAGAAUUGAUUGGUUAACUUAUUAAUUCAAAAUUUUUAAAAAAAUUUAAAUUUAUUAUCAGACAAGUUAGGCAUUUUUAAUUCAAAUCAAAAUAUAAUCAGUAAAAUAUAUUUUAACGGUUAAUCGAGAAUCGUGGAUUUUUCAAUAAAUCAAGUUUUUUUUAAACAAAGAUAUGUAAUAAUAGUUUUUAACAUGUUAUCGUUCUGGGUCCAAUAUGAAUAUAUCCAGAAAUAUUUUAUCGAACAUUAAACUUUUAUAAUUUGUAUUUCUCGAGUCUUGGUAUAUCCGAUUAUUAGGAUAACUUUAUUUCAACAUUAAAUUCUUAUAAUUUAACUCGGAUCUUUGUAAGUUCAAUAAUUAGAUGAUAAAUUUUUUUGAGUAAAAGAUCGGCAGUGAACAUAAUAUUGUUGAUCAACAUUGCACCUAAAAGAGUAGUAUUAAAAGCAUGAGAAAUCCAACAUAUCUGCAUAAUCCGUGAAGUGACAGAGACAGUGCACUCACCACCAGUACAUUUGUAUUCCUUUCACACACCAUUUUAGAAAAUGGACGUCACUGCUGGACUCAUCACCAACAAACUAAUAAUCCACACAAUCAUGCAUCUCCCCAAUUAUUACCACUCUCCGAUUUCAUCUCACAACUCAAACCUCAAACUCAAUUUGUACAGUACUGCUAUUAUUAGCUUCACUGAAAAAACAUGCACUAAACAUACCAAUUCAUUCUCGUACAAAUAGAAUCUGAAUAGUGGAUUCGUAGCUUUAUUGCAAGAUUUUGUUUGAAGCAACUAAUGCUAAUGCCUAGCGUUUAGAUAUGGAUAAUCAUUGUGCAGAAUGGGAUAGAUAGAUGAUGAUGAUCAUCUUUAUUUACGGGUGGAUGGAUGGAAUCAAUGAGUCAUUCAGUCUCUGAUUAAGACACUCUAUAUGGGACUUGAGUGUUGGGACCGUGGCCGGUGCUGAUCUCGACUUGAUAAUUUUUAAUAAUAAAUAUGUAAUUUGGUUGGUCGGGAUGUCUUGUAGUCAUAUUUAUCGGUUGUAUAUUCCGAAUACAUCCAGAGUUUUCGUCUAUAAGAAAUUUUUCUAACAUUAUUCCAAAAUUUGAGUUGUCAGGAUUUUUUUAAUAGUUCGAAGGUCAGCCGAGACUCUAACAUUGACGAGUCCUCUUUAGUUUUAGCACUGGUGUAUGUACUAGAUGCAUUAUAGGUAUGUGGGAGCAAGAAUUUAGUGGGAAUAAGUGAUCAAUGUCACUGCCGUAUUGCAAAACACUUAAUGGAGCAGCAGUUUCACAUCUUUGUGCGAAGAAAAAAGAGUGUGAGUGCACAACUUAGGCAACUAUAAUACACAUAAUAUGUGGAUUUAAAUCUCGCCCAACUCUUCCAAUAAAAUGAAUGCGCUUGGUGUAUGUAUGUGAAACAAAUUAUCUCAUCUUAACACAGACAAAUGGUCCAAUGUCAAAAGCUCACAUUUCAAAAUCCACCUGCCCUACUUACCAAAUGCCUACGUUGAUUUAGCGUCAACUGAUUCUGCAGAUACAUAUAUUACUUCCUCAGUUUUUUAAUAUUUGAUGUUUUGACUUUUGACACACAUGAGUUGAUUGGAUAUUAAAAAUUAUUAUUUUUGAUUGUUUUUUUUGUGAAUUAAAUUUUUGAUUAUAUAUUUUUAUUCAGAAAAAAAAUUUAAAAAUAAUAAUUUUAACAACUCGGUCAAAGCACUUAAACAUACGUGCCCAAAGUCAAAGCGUCAAAUAUUAAAAAACAGAGGGAGUAAUAAAUUAUUUGCCUGAACGAGAAUGCAAUAAUAGUGUCUCUCGCUCUUGCCUAUAUUUUCUCGGAAAUGAGAAUGUAACAAAAACCCAGAAACUUGGUUACAGUAGUUGUAACAACUUGGGAUCAGUCUGAAUCAUAACAACAAGAUGUAUGACACAUCACACAAGUUGUUCAAACAACUCCUUACAUUAAAGACUCAUAAUCGGACACCAGUGAACUAUUAUUCUUUCACCCGUAACGAACUAAACCAAACCGAGUUUGAGUUUCUGCUGGCAAAGUUUAAUGCUGUGUUUGGUUGGGAUGAAUGAAAAUGGAGGGAAUGAAAUGAGAUUUGAAAUAUAAUUUAGUUGGAAUGUAUAAUGAUUGUUGGGCCAGCUAAGCGAGCCUAACUCCACGAUAGUACGAUAUUGUCCGCUUUGGACAUAGCUCGCACGGCAUUGUUUUUGGGCACCUCCCAAAAGGCUUUGUUCUAUUGGAGUUGUUCUGACUGUUUAUAUUCUAGCUUUAUGCCCCUCCCACAACCGAUGUGGAACAACUCCUAACAAUCUCCCCCUUCACACAUCGGGCUCGAUUCUGCUUCCUGGUGUGUGAUCGGGCUCCCCUUAAACCCAUACUGGAAGUCCGUCUGGCCAUCUGGCUCCCUCUAGGUCCAAACUGGAAGGUCCACUUGCCUUAUCCUUAAGCCCAUUCUGGGUAGCCCAUCCGCCUUUUCCUGGGCCUGUUCUGAAGCCCACUUGAGAUUGUUAUGGACCGUUUCAACCUGUCUCUGAUACCACUUGUUGGGCCAGCUAAGCGAGCCUAACUCCACGAUAGUACGAUAUUGUCCGCUUUGGGCCUAGCCCGCACGGCUUUGUUUUUGGGCACCUAUCAAAAGGCCUCGUUCUAUUGGAGUUGUUCUGGCUGUUUAUAUUCUAGCUUUAUGCCCCUCCCACAACCGAUGUGGGACAACUCCUAACAAUAAUUUCAUUCCUUCCACCAUUCCAUUCUAAUGACUCUUAAUUAGAGUUCAAACCCUCCAUUUUGUGAAGUAAUGCUCCAUUCCUUAUGAUACCUAUUUUCUACCCAAAUGUUAUCAUACAAAAUUUGCACUCACUCAUUUUUUUCAAAAUCAUCCCUCCUACACUCUAUUAUUUUUUUUUUGUUUGUACUCAUUCUAUUCCAUUCCAUUCCAUUCUUCCCAACCAAACACAACAUAGGAAUUAUUCAAGAUUUAAUUUUACAAGUUAUUAUUUUGAAGUAUUUAUUAGAUGAUUAUAAGAUCGAACCAAUAAUAUGUUGAAUUUCGGCCGGAUUUAAGUAAAAUCAGUCGUAAAAAUAAUAAAUCUAAAAAUAUAUCAUAUAUUUCCGAAAUAAGUUUUAGAAAAUUUUAGAGCUUUAUCGUAGAAAAAAUCAAUACCCAUAAUCGUUCCUUUCUUGCUACCGGAUACAAAAAUUAUUAGAUGAGAGAAACUCCUCAAUUUGAAUGAUUGCGAAAACGAAUGAAACUGAAUUGUGUACGAAAUAACCUAAAAAAUGGGUCCAAGUUGAUCAUCCUAAAUUUCUUCUUCAUCUAACCGUUCCUUCUAAUAUAACACAAAGUACCAAGUUGAUGAUUUCACGACACUUUCAGAUGCAGACACCUAAGUCUUAGUGUUGAAACUCGAUUUACAUAUGAUUAGUAUGAUAAUACAUCCAAAUUCCAAAAUCGGUUCUUCUUAAAAUAUGUACUCUGCUUGAUUAACAAUAGACCGAGGGAGGAUAUAUAUUUGAAACGAGGACCAUUCAUUUAUAAAAAUUACAGUAAUAGUAGUAGGGUAUGUGACAAGUGACAAAAACACUAGAAAACUGUACCGGUAGGUCAUGGGUCACCCAUAUUUUUGACCAUAUCAUUGCAAUUUUUAACACUUCACUAUAUAUGUGCACAAAGGGCAACUCAACAUCAUAUUUCUACUAGUAUACUAAGAAUCUAAAAUAUAGUAAAUUUUAUAAACUAACUAUGACCGAAAGAGUCUACAAUAUUGUGCUAUUUUGGAAUGUUUAGCUCCUAUAAAUAAACUAGGAGCCUUGGUACUAAUUUGAAUUUUUGAUUUCAAAUUCUUUCCGCUCCCCUACUUUGAGAGUAUAUUUUAUUACAUGCCGUAUAAAUAUUUGUUAGAUUCAGAAAACUUGAUUAUGUUUAGUUUAAGACAGAGCUUAAAACGAACUCAAAAAUUAUGUACAAAAAUAGAAUAGUGCAACUCAAAAUAAACCACUCAUAUCAUAGGGUAUCACAGUAUGAUUUCGCAAAAAAGUUGUCAAACUUAAAAUUUUGUGCAAUAUUUUUUGUUAUGAAAUACUCCUUCCGCCCCCUAAAUUGUACGACGGAAACGCAACGCUCAUUUUAAUAUUUUCAUAAAAUAUAGUUUUAUAAUUUAUUUUUAAGAUUUUAUUUUUCUAAAAUAGUAAAUUAUAAUAUAAGACUUAAGAGUAUAAAAAUAAAUAAGACCUGGACUGCAUGACAAUAUCACUGUAUCAACAUUAGGUUGCUCUGCCACAACAAUAACAAUAUGACAUGAUAGUAAAAUCAUUGUGCAAACAAAACAUACUGCAUUCACCUUGGUAACUGGGAGUAAAAGAGAUACUCAUGUGUGUAAAACGUUCCGACAAAACAAAGAUAUUUUGGGAGAUUAUACUUGUAGAUGAACUAUGACAAGCUAAUUACCGUGCUAAUGUAAAAGUAAUCGCGGCAGAGAAUCUAGUACAAAGAGCUGGGUGUCAAAAUUAAAAAACACCAGUCGUGACAAAAGGUUUAAGAAUUUCAUGUAAUUACACCGCGUCGUCUGCAAUAAAUUAUUCUCCCGAAGAAAAACAAGUCAAGAUAUGACCUUUCCACCAACCUUUUCUACCCGAAUACUGUACUCUUGUCUUUUAUCAACCGGCUUUGUUCCAAUAAAUUAAUAUAUCAAGACUGUUAAUUUUAUAUGCUUUGUUUGUCAUCUCCUUUUCUUCAUACAAUAGCUAGAGGAACUACUCCGUCUUAAUUAAUUAAUUUUAAACCAUAUGUAUUAUCUUAAAAAAAUUAUUUAUUCAUUGCUAUGAGAAUAAAAUUUCAAAACACUCUCUCCGUCCCCUUUUAAAUGUUCAUUUUGAUUUUCAAAAUAUCAAAUUAACCAAAUUUUGAUUGAAAUUACAAAUUAUCUAUUCAUUAUUUUUAAAAUCUUAAAAUUACGUAUUAAAAUAGACUAAAUUUAUUUUCUAAUGAUAUUAUUAUUAUUAUUAUUAUCAAUUGUAUGAUAUAUCUAAAUUUCAGUGAAAAUAUAGUCAAUUUGAUUGGUGAAAAUCAAAAUGGACAUGUAAAAAGAGACGGGGUAACAAGUUUAAAGAUAAUACUAGCUAAUCGGAAAUCAUAUAUUCCCUCCCUUCCAUUUCUUGAGCUUGUUUGACUAGGAUAAUUUUUAAGAAAUCAACGCUUGGAGUCUAGAGCAAGUAAAAUAAUGUUCUACAAGUGUUUCAUAAAAAUAUUAAAAGUAAUACCCUAAUAUUUAAGACAAUAUUUUAGUAUAUAUUCUAACAAAAUGUCAUAAAAUCAUGUUUAAAUAUUUAAUAAUAUGCCCCGUCUUUUUUUAGUUGUCAGGUAAACUCAACUCAAAUAAAUUGGAACAAAUACUCAACCUCCCCAAUAAAUUCCAUGUACGUUGGCUAAGGUCGAAUAUUGCAACCUAAACACCCCGGGUUCAUAAAGAUGGUGCACUACAACUACCAUACUAAAUGAAACCUGACAUAAGAAGUAGAUGACUUUGGAUGACUUUAGAUUCAAAGAUUAACAUGCAUAUAAUUGUAUGUCUAGUCGACUAAGUUCGUUUAGAUACCCAGCUAAUAAGAAUUAUACUUUAUUAAAUAUUAAUAAGCCCUAUUCUCCUUUAUCUGAAAUAUUCGAAUAUGACUCAUUCCAAAAAAUACCAAAAAUAAUUAUAAAAUAUAUAAGUCUAAAUUGUUUAAAAACGACAUCCACGUGACUAUCGAGUUUAUUUAAAAUAUAAAAUCUCAUGAUUUACGUAGACACCUAAGCCAAGAUUUUGAAUGCUCAUCUUCUUUUCUUUUGUAAACUACUAAAUGGCAAUUGCGUCCCAGCAAAUUGUUUACAUUCAAUUAUUUAAAUGUAUUUUAAGAUUUACCUCGAAUAUAAUUUCAUAACAUUUUUUUUUAUUUUUUAAAUGCUCGUCUCCUUUUCUUUGUAAACCAGAAGUAUGAUUAUAGGCGAAAAUAAUGUGUUGCUACGUAUAUUCCUAGUAAUUUUGUUCGGAGCACCGUAGUGAUAUUCAAAGCCGAAUGGUCCCAAAAAUAAUGUCAAAUUUCAAUUUUAUUUUCAUUUUGUUUUAACAAAAUGUCGCAAUCAUUUUGGUGGGUGCUUCUCGCAGAACCGUAAAUCAUAAAAGCUAGAAAUUUAAUGUAACCAACAUCUUCUCUUCUUAUCUACAUGCACACACAUGUAUAUAAAUCCAUUGUAUAUUUGUAUGUCUUUGGUCCGUGACAGAUACAGAGGAGUAACCAGAAGAAGACUACAUACGACGACAAGGAUAAUUUGCUUGUACUAAAGUUGACGUGUCUUCUCCGGCGUAAGUUAGCUUCCCUCCGCUUCCACAUUUUUAUUCCUUCCCUUCCCACUCUUUCACACCUGCACACACAACUUAUAUAUUUCCGUCACGGAAUCAGGAUUCCGAAAUAUUAAACUCAAUUAUAUAAUAUGAAUAUUGAAAUUUAGCUUUUUGUUGUUGAUUUUUAAAGUUCAGUUGAGAAUUGAAAAAAUAAAAUAUCUUAUAUUUUUUUGAGGUAUGUUGGAACUUGAAAUGCGGAUUUUAUUAAUUUUCGAAGUUCAGCUCGGACCACGUGUAUUAGUUCUAAAGUGGUUAAGUAAUGUCAAAUUCUUGCAGCUGCAGCAUUUGUGAUUAACUACUACCAACUCAACGACAUUUUGAGGGCUAAAGAUGAGAGGAACAGAGUGUGUGAUGAUGCUGUUUGUUUUGUUAAUGGUGGGGGAUUAUGCAACGACGACGUUUGGAACUACGGUGACAUAUGAUCAUCGGGCUAUUGUCAUCGACGGCAAGCGGAGAGUGUUGGUUUCGGGUUCUAUUCAUUAUCCUCGGAGCACUCCUGAUGUACAUUUGUUUUUCCCGCUUUAAUUCUGUUGUGUGUUUAGUACACAGUUUUAGAAUUUUUUGUUUUGAUUUAUUUCCAUGUGGAAAAUGCAGAUGUGGCCGGACUUGAUUCAGAAAUCGAAGGAUGGAGGGUUGGAUGUGAUUGAGACUUAUGUUUUCUGGGAUUUGCAUGAACCUGUCCGGAACCAGGUUCUGUUAUGUUUUUUCGAGUUCUCGUGUUGAGUAUAGUUCUCGUUUGAGACAGACCCGUGUGUGU